rnacentral:rRNA from 1 species
GUGAGGAAUAUUGGUCAAUGGACGAGAGUCUGAACCAGCCAAGUCGCGUGAAGGAAGACGGUUCUAUGAAUUGUAAACUUCUUUUGUGCAGGAAUAAAGUGGGUUACGUGUAACCUUUUGUAUGUACUGUACGAAUAAGGAUCGGCUAACUCCGUGCCAGCAGCCGCGGUAAUACGGAGGAUCCGAGCGUUAUCCGGAUUUAUUGGGUUUAAAGGGUGCGUAGGUGGAUUGAUAAGUCAGCGGUGAAAGUUUGCAGCUUAACUGUAAAAUUGCCGUUGAAACUGUCGGUCUUGAGUGCAAAUGAGGUAGGCGGAAUGUGUUGUGUAGCGGUGAAAUGCUUAGAUACAACACAGAACUCCGAUUGCGAAGGCAGCUUACUGGGAUGCAACUGACACUGAUGCACGAAAGCGUGGGUAUCAAACAGGAUUAGAAACCCCAGUAGUCC